rnacentral:rRNA from 1 species
CCUACGGGCGGCUGCAGUGAGGAAUAUUGGUCAAUGGGCGCAAGCCUGAACCAGCCAAGUCGCGUGCGGGAAGACGGUCCUAUGGAUUGUAAACCGCUUUUGUCGGGGAGCAAAAGCCUCCACGCGUGGCGUUCCGCGAGUACCCUAAGAAAAAGCAUCGGCUAACUCCGUGCCAGCAGCCGCGGUAAUACGGAGGUCGCGAGCGUUAUCCGGAUUUAUUGGGGUUAAAGGGUGCGCAGGCGGACGAUCAAGUCAGCGGUAAAAUUGAGAGGCUCAACCUCGUCGCGCAGUUGAAACUGGUUUUCUUGAGUGCACGAGAAGUAUGCGGAAUGCGUGGUGUAGCGGUGAAAUGCAUAGAUAUCACGCAGAACUCCGAUUGCGAAGGCAGCAUACCGGCGCUCAACUGACGCUCAUGCACGAAAGUGCGGGUAUCGAACAGGAUUAGAUACCCGUGUAGUC